UACGUAGGGUGCAAGCGUUGUUCGGAAUUAUUGGGCGUAAAGCGCGUGUAGGUUGUUACUCAAGUCGGGUGUGAAAUCCCUUGGCUUAACCAAGGAAGUGCAUCCGAAACUAGGUAGCUAGAGGACGGUAGAGGAAGGUGGAAUUCCUAGUGUAGAGGUGAAAUUCGUAGAUAUUAGGAGGAAUACCUGUGGCGAAGGCGGCCUUCUGGGUCGUUCCUGACACUGAGACGCGAAAGCGUGGGUAGCAAACAGG
rnacentral:rRNA from 1 species